rnacentral:rRNA from 1 species
UACGGAGGAUACGAGCGUUAUCCGGAUUUACUGGGUGUAAAGGGAGCGUAGACGGCAGCGCAAGUCUGGAGUGAAAUCCCAUGGCUUAACCAUGGAACUGCUUUGGAAACUGUGCAGCUGGAGUGCAGAAGAGGAGAGUGGAACUCCAUGUGUAGCGGUGGAAUGCGUAGAUAUAUGGAAGAACACCAGUGGCGAAGGCGGCUCUCUGGUCUGCAACUGACGCUGAGGCUCGAAAGCAUGGGUAGCGAACAGG